rnacentral:rRNA from 1 species
GACGAACGCUGUCGGCGUGCUUAACACAUGCAAGUCGAACGGAAAGGCCCUGCUUUUGUGGGGUGCUCGAGUGGCGAACGGGUGAGUAACACGUGAGUAACCUGCCCUUGACUUUGGGAUAACUUCAGGAAACUGGGGCUAAUACCGGAUAGGAGCUCCUGCUGCAUGGUGGGGGUUGGAAAGUUUCGGCGGUUGGGGAUGGACUCGCGGCUUAUCAGCUUGUUGGUGGGGUAGUGGCUUACCAAGGCUUUGACGGGUAGCCGGCCUGAGAGGGUGACCGGCCACAUUGGGACUGAGAUACGGCCCAGACUCCUACGGGAGGCAGCAGUGGGGAAUAUUGCACAAUGGGCGGAAGCCUGAUGCAGCAACGCCGCGUGCGGGAUGACGGCCUUCGGGUUGUAAACCGCUUUCGCCUGUGACGAAGCGUGAGUGACGGUAAUGGGUAAAGAAGCACCGGCUAACUACGUGCCAGCAGCCGCGGUGAUACGUAGGGUGCGAGCGUUGUCCGGAUUUAUUGGGCGUAAGGGGUUCGUAGGUGGUUGAUCGCGUCGGAAGUGUAAUCUUGGGGCUUAACCCUGAGCGUGCUUUCGAUACGGGUUGACUUGAGGAAGGUAGGGGAGAAUGGAAUUCCUGGUGGAGCGGUGGAAUGCGCAGAUAUCAGGAGGAACACCAGUGGCGAAGGCGGUUCUCUGGGCCUUUCCUGACGCUGAGGAGCGAAAGCGUGGGGAGCGAACAGGCUUAGAUACCCUGGUAGUCCACGCUGUAAACGGUGGGUACUAGGUGUGGGGUCCAUUCCACGGGUUCCGUGCCGUAGCUAACGCUUUAAGUACCCCGCCUGGGGAGUACGGCCGCAAGGCUAAAACUCAAAGGAAUUGACGGGGCCCCGCACAAGCGGCGGAGCAUGCGGAUUAAUUCGAUGCAACGCGUAGAACCUUACCUGGGUUUGACAUGGAUCGGGAGUGCUCAGAGAUGGGUGUGCCUCUUUUGGGGUCGGUUCACAGGUGGUGCAUGCCUGUCGUCAGCUCGUGUCGUGAGAUGUUGGGUUAAGUCCCGCAACGAGCGCAACCCUUGUUCACUGUUGCCAGCACGUUAUGGUGGGGACUCAGUGGAGACCGCCGGGGUCAACUCGGAGGAAGGUGGGGAUGACGUCAAGUCAUCAUGCCCCUUAUGUCCAGGGCUUCACGCAUGCUACAAUGGCUGGUACAGAGAGUGGCGAGCCUGUGAGGGUGAGCGAAUCUCGGAAAGCCGGUCUCAGUUCGGAUUGGGGUCUGCAACUCGACCUCAUGAAGUCGGAGUCGCUAGUAAUCGCAGAUCAGCAACGCUGCGGUGAAUACGUUCCCGGGGCC